GGGAACAUUUGAACCAGGUAAAUUACCAGGGAUUGAUCAGUGUUACUGAGGAUGGCACUCCUUGUGUAAAUUGGAACACACAAGGCCAUCCUGAUUUGGAA
rnacentral:ribozyme from 1 species